UUGUCGUGUCUGCGGUGAAAACUCGAGGCUUAACCUUGAGCUUGCCGUGGGUACUGGAAGACUUGAGUGCAGGAGAGGAAAGGGGAAUUCCCAGUGUAGCGGUGAAAUGCGUAGAUAUUGGGAGGAACACCAGUGGCGAAGGCGCCUUUCUGGACUGUGUCUGACGCUGAGAUGCGUCGACGCGGCCGAGUCGUGGAAGG
rnacentral:rRNA from 1 species